AGUGAACGCUGGCGGUAGGCCUAACACAUGCAAGUCGAACGGCAGCACAGUAAGAGCUUGCUCUUACGGGUGGCGAGUGGCGGACGGGUGAGGAAUACAUCGGAAUCUACUUUUUCGUGGGGGAUAACGUAGGGAAACUUACGCUAAUACCGCAUACGACCUACGGGUGAAAGCAGGGGAUCUUCGCACCUUGCGCGUUUGAAUGAGCCGAUGUCGGAUUAGCUAGUUGGCGGGGUAAAGGCCCACCAAGGCGACGAUCCGUAGCUGGUCUGAGAGGAUGAGCAGACACACUGGAGCUGAGACACGGUCCAGACUACUACGGGAGGCAGGAGUGGGGAAUAUUGGACAAGGGGCGAAAGACUGAUCCAGCCAGACCGCGUGGGUGAAGAAGGCCUUCGGGUUGUAAAGCCCUUUUGUUGGGAAAGAAAAGCAGAAGGUUAAUACCCCGCUGUUCUGACGGUACCUAAGGAAUAAGCACCGGCUAACUUCGUG
rnacentral:rRNA from 1 species